rnacentral:rRNA from 1 species
GGAAGUAAAAGUCGUAAACAAGGUCUCCGUUGGUGAACCAGCGGAGGGAUCAUUACAGAGUUGCAAAACUCCCUAAACCAUUGUGAACGUUACCUAUACCGUUGCUUCGGCGGGCGGCCCCGGGGUUUACCCCCCGGGCGCCCCUGGGCCCCACCGCGGGCGCCCGCCGGAGGUCACCAAACUCUUGAUAAUUUAUGGCCUCUCUGAGUCUUCUGUACUGAAUAAGUCAGAACUUUCAACAACGGAUCUCUUGGUUCUGGCAUCGAUGAAGAACGCAGCGAAAUGCGAUAAGUAAUGUGAAUUGCAGAAUUCAGUGAAUCAUCGAAUCUUUGAACGCACAUUGCGCCCGCCAGCAUUCUGGCGGGCAUGCCUGUUCGAGCGUCAUUUCAACCAUCAAGCCCCCGGGCUUGUGUUGGGGACCUGCGGCUGCCGCAGGCCCUGAAAAGCAGUGGCGGGCUCGCUGUCGCACCGAGCGUAGUAGCAUACAUCUCGCUCUGGUCGCGCCGCGGGUUCCGGCCGUUAAACCACCUUUUAACCCAAGGUUGACCUCGGAUCAGGUAGGAAGACCCGCUGAACUUAAGCAUAUCAAUAAGCGGAGGAAAAGAAACCAACAGGGAUUGCCUUAGUAACG